CAGGGUCUGACGACUACCCAAACCAAACCGUGAACCUUUUCAAGAUUCGACAUGCUUCGGCGAGUCGCUCGCUGGGGGAGCCUCGGGCUGCGGAGACGCGGCCGGCCCGCCGAAGACAUGCAAACCAAAAUACGCUGAAUAACUUUCUGAGAGUUUUACCUUCCUAUUGGAAGAAAAAAAAUCA
rnacentral:misc_RNA from 1 species